AACUUUCAGCAAUGGAUCACUUGGCUCUCGCAUCGAUGAAGAACGCAGCGAAAUGCGAUAAGUAAUGUGAAUUGCAGAAUUCAGUGAAUCAUCGGAUCUUUGAACGCACCUUGCACUCCUUGGUAUUCCGAGGAGUAUGCCUGUUUGAGUGUCAUGAAUAUAUCAACCUCUCAAGCUUUUGCUUGUGGAGUGUAUGGAUGUGGGGGAAUUAUUUUGCUGGCCUUUUAAGGAGGUCGGCUCCCCUGAAAUGCAUUGGCAGAAUGAUUUUGCUGCCCGUUUAUUGGUGUGAUAAAUAUCUACGCUGUUGACGUGAAGCAAGUUCAGCUUAUAAUGGUCCAUUGACUUGGACAACAUAUUUAUUAAUGUGACCUCAAAUCAGGUAGGACUACCCGCUGAACUUAAGCAUAUCAAUAAGCGGAGGCU
rnacentral:misc_RNA from 1 species